rnacentral:lncRNA from 1 species
AUUUCUUAAAGAAAGAAGAUCUUUGUUUAUAACAGGAAAGUUUGAAUUUAAUUCUUUGAGAUUAUUACGAAACUUUGCUUUGUAAGUCGUAAUAUUAGGCAAAUGCUUGGCUUUAAUGGCAUUGGAUAGCAACAAAUCCAUAAUUGCAAACAAAAAUAAAAUUUGUAAUAAAACAACUUAAUGCUAACUUUUGAUAAAUUUCAAUUUAUUCGAAUACUUAAGGCUUUGUACGAAUAAUUAAGGCGUUAUUAGAAUAAUUAAGGAUUCAUUUUUAUAUUUAAACGGAACCGAGAGAACCCUUUUGAUCAACUUUUUUUUGUUGUCUACCGAAAAUUCGGGUCAACUGAAUCCUGAAACAAUAGGGAUUUUUUUGCCUUUAUUACGGCAAGCAAAAUAAAUACAUUGAAAUAACGAUUGAUUAAAAGGGUUCUUUCGGUACCGUUUACUUUAAAAAAAGAAUCCUGGCGUUAUGAAACAUGACGGAGGAGAGCUAAGUCUUUGAAACAUUGUUAUAGCCGUGUAUGCUUUUCUAUAAAGGCAAUAUUUAUUUUUUUAAAGAACUCAUAUAUUCAUAUUAGUAUUCUAUAAAUUUAAGUUUAGUAUUUUUUAGAUCAUGAAACGGAAUUUUUUAUAAUUUCUUAGAAUAUUAUGGGUGAAUCCUGGGCAACACAGGAUACCCCUAGAUCCGCCCUUGAUGGACUCUAAGAAAAGACAGAAGUACCAAAAAUAUAACGAGGAAGCUGUGAUGACGGCUGUUGCUGAUGUGCGAGACAAUCAUUUUUUAUGGAGAAAAGCAAGUUUAAAAUAUAAUGUACCUUCUCAGACAAUCGGUGAUAGAAUGAAUGGCAUUACCGCCAACCAAAAGAUAGGUCGCAAACCUGCUUUAGAAAAAGAGGACGAAGAAAAAAUAAAAGUCUUUUUAAUUAAAGUAGCAAAAUAGGAUAUGGUAUUUACCAAAAAAAUCUUUUAGACAUUAAAGAAAAACAACAUAUAACAGAGCAUCGACUUAACGAUAAAGAAAAAAAUGAUUUGAUAGCUCAUAGAAAGUUUGUUAAUAAUCUGCCAAGCAAGUUUUUGAUCUACAGACAUUCAGAUCUUGCAAGAAGAAUGCCUGAAAAUUUAGGCUACCAGCGGCGAAACGAUACUCAUGCUCAAAUUAGGCAAUCGUUUACUGACCUGGAGAAUUAUUUGUUUGAUGAACACGAAAUAAACGCUUCAGAGAUCCUAUUUCUAGAAAACUCUAGUAGAGUGUUUAAUUUGGACGAAGCAGGGUUUCCAUUAGCAGGGACAUUGGGAAUCAUUAACGGAUGGAUUUCUAGCAAUUGCUUAUUUUCGUGAUUGUCUAAUUACUUCUAUUCAUCGGUAAAAGAAAAUGUUGAAACGGUCACUCAACACAUAUCGAUGUCUGUGUCAGUGAGUUGAACUAUUCUACAUUGUUUUCCGGCUCAUGCUAGCCAUUUGAUACAACCUUUGGAUGUUUCCGUCUACGGGCCACUCAAAACUUAUUGGAACAAGGCAUUAAAAGAUUUUAACAAUCAGUUUUAAACAUGGCAAUGACUAAGGUAAAUUUUUUUUCAGUGUUCGACAUUGUAUGGAAAAAAGCAAAAGGUAAACCAGAAAAUGCUGUAUCGGGAUUCUGGAAAUGUGGCUUACACCAUUUAAUCCAGAGGCGAUUGAUUAUUCAAAACUGGUUGAU